CCUACGGGGGGCAGCAGUGGGGAAUAUUGGGCAAUGGGCGCACGCCUGACCCAGCAACGCCGCGUGAAGGAAGAAGGCUUUCGGGUUGUAAACUUCUUUUGUCAGGGAAGAGUAGAAGACGGUAACUGACGAAUAAGCCACGGCUAACUACGGGCCAGCAGCCGCGGUAAGACGUAGGUGGCAAGCGUUGUCCGGAUUUACUGGGUGUAAAGGGCGUGUAGCCGGGUUGACAAGUCAGAUGUGAAAUCCUGCGGCUUAACCGUAGCACUGCAUUUGAAACUGUUGAUCUUGAGUACUGGAGAGGCAGACGGAAUGCCUAGUGUAGCGGUGAAAUGCGUAGAUAUUAGGAGGAAUACCAGUUGCGAAGGCGGUCUGCUGGACAGCAACUGACGGUGAGGCGCGAAAGCGUGGGGAGCAAACAGGAUUAGAUACCCUUGUAGUC
rnacentral:rRNA from 1 species